rnacentral:rRNA from 1 species
AUUGAACGCUGGCGGCAUGCUUUACACAUGCAAGUCGAACGGUAACGGGCCUUCGGGUGCUGCCGAGUGGCGCACGGGUGCGUAAUGCAUCGGAACGUGCCCAGAGGUGGGGGAUAACGCAGCGAAAGCUGUGCUAAUACCGCAUGUGAUCUGAGGAUGAAAGCGGGGGACCAAGCAGCAAUGUUUGGCCUCGCGCCUCUGGAGCGGCCGAUGUCAGAUUAGGUAGUUGGUGGGGUAAAGGCCUACCAAGCCGACGAUCUGUAGCUGGUCUGAGAGGACGAACAGCCACACUGGGACUGAGACACGGCCCAGACUCCUACGGGAGGCAGCAGUGGGGAAUUUUGGACAAUGGGCGCAAGCCUGAUCCAGCAAUGCCGCGUGCGGGAAGAAGGCCUUCGGGUUGUAAACCGCUUUUGUACGGAACGAAAAGGCUCUGGCUAAUACCUGGGGCUGAUGACGGUACCGGAAGAAUAAGCACCGGCUAACUACGUG